rnacentral:rRNA from 1 species
UCAGACCGGAGUAAUCCAGGUCAGUUUCUAUCUAUACUUGAAUUUUUCCUAGUACGAAAGGACCGGAAAAACGUGGCCUAUACAUACGCAAGCCACAGUUAUUUAAUUAUGACUUAAACUUAAUAAUGCAGUAACCUAAAAUAAUUUUCUAAACAAGAACCG